GCGCAGCAGUCGAGAAUACUCCACAAUGCGCGCAAGCGUGAUGAGGGAAUCCCAAGUGUUCUUUCCGUUUCGGAAGGAACUUUUGCCACGUUUUGAAAUGGCGUGGCGAAUAAGGGCUGGGCAAGCGGGUGCCAGCAGCCGCGGUAAUACCCGCGGCCCGAGUUGUGACCAUUAUUAUUGAGUCUAAAGCGUUCGUAGCUGGUUUGGAUAGUUUGUGCUUAAAUCUUUUCGUUUAACGGAAAGGCAUGGUAUAAAUACUUUCAGACUAGAGGCCGGGAGGGGAGAUGGGAACUUUUCGGGUAGGAGUAAAAUCCUUUAAUCCGAAAAAGACCACCAAUAGCGAAGGCACAUCUCCAGAACGGACCUGACGGUGAGGGACGAAGGCUAGGAGAACAAACCGGAUUAGAUACCCCCGUAGUCC
rnacentral:rRNA from 1 species